UUUGGCGAGCGCUGGGGUGCCUCCCACCUCGGCCCUGACCCUAGGUCGGUGCGUUCUCGCCAGAGCCCCCAACCAUUCUGUUUAUUCACUAAUGUCCGAGUAUUAUUAUAAUUCAAAUCAAAACUUUCAACAACGGAUCUCUUGGUUCUGGCAUCGAUGAAGAACGCAGCGAAAUGCGAUAAGUAAUGUGAAUUGCAAAAUUCAGUGAAUCAUCGAAUCUUUGAACGCACAUUGCGCCCCUUGGUAUUCCGAGGGGCAUGCCUGUUCGAGCGUCAUUGCAACCCUCAAGCUUCGCUUGGUAUUGAGCUUUUCGCCGGAGACGGCGUGCUCGAAAAUUAGUGGCGGUCCGGGGAGACUUCAAGCGCAGUAAAACUUUCCGCUUUCGAGGUUCUCGCCUGUGAUUAGCCGUAAAGCCCCCCAACUUUUCAAUGAUUGACCUCGGAUCAGGUAGGGAUACCCGCUGAACUUAAGCAUAU
rnacentral:rRNA from 1 species